CAAAAUUACGGGGAUGACUUGUGGCUAGGGGUGAAAGGCUAAUCAAACUCGGAAAUAGCUGGUUCUCCGCGAAAGAUAUUUAGGUAUCGCCUCGAGCGAAUACUGCAGGGGGUAGAGCACUGGAUGGGCUAGGGGGUCUCACCGACUUACCGAUCCUAACCAAACUCCGAAUACCUGCAAGUACUACUCGGGAGACAGACGGUGGGUGCUAACGUCCAUCGUCAAGAGGGAAACAACCCUGAUCUACAGCUAAGGUCCCCAAGUGAUAGUUAAGUGGGAAAGCAUGUGGGAAUGCUUAGACAACCAGGAGGUUGGCUUAGAAGCAGCCAUCCUUUAAAGAUAGCGUAACAGCUCACUGGUCAAGCGUUCCUGCGGCGAAGAUGUAACGGGUCUAAAACUAUCCACCGAAGCUUAGGGUUUGCACGCAAGUGCAAGCGGUAGCGGAGCGUUCCGUAAGCCAGUGAAGCGGUACCUGUGAGGGGCCGUGGAGGUAUCGGAAGUGCGAAUGAUGACAUGAGUAGCGAUAAAAAGUGUGAGAGACACUUUCGCCGAAAGUCCAAGGGUUCCUGCGCAAUGCUAAUCAGCGCAGGGUUAGCCGGCCCCUAAGUCGAGGCAGACAUGCGUAGACGAUGGGAACCACGUUAAUAUUCGUGGGCCUGGUGGUAGUGACGGAUCGCGCAAAGUUGUACGCCCUUAUUGGAUUGGGUGUGCAAUCCGCCGGUUCCAGGAAAUAGCUCCACCGCUAUAGACCGUACCCUAAACCGACACAGGUGGACUGGUAGAGCAUACCAAGGCGCUUGAGAGAACUAUGCUGAAGGAACUCGGCAAAUUGCAUGCGUAACUUCGGGAUAAGCAUGACCUCGGCGUGGGCAACCGCGCAGGGGUGACACAAAAGAGGGGGUAGCGACUGUUUAUUAAAAACACAGGGCUCUGCGAAGUUGCAAAACGACGUAUAGGGUCUGACGCCUGCCCGGUGCCGGAAGGUUAAAUGGAGGGGUGCAAGCUCUGAAAUGAAGCCCCGGUAAACGGCGGCCGUAAUAAUAACGGUCCUAAGGUAGUGAAAUUCCUUGUUGGGUAAGUUCCGACCUGCACGAAUGGCGUAACGACUUCCCCACUGUCUCCAGCAUAGACUCAGCGAAAUUGAAUUCCCCGUGAAGAUGCGGGGUACCUGCGGUCAGACGGAAAGACCCCAUGAACCUUUACUCUAGCUCUGCGCUGGCAUUCGUGUCGGCAUGUCC
rnacentral:rRNA from 1 species